rnacentral:rRNA from 1 species
UAGAGUUUGAUCAUGGCUCAGAGUGAACGCUGGCGGCAUGCCUAACACAUGCAAGUCGAACGGUAACAGGCCCGCAAGGGUGCUGACGAGUGGCGGACGGGUGAGGAAUACAUCGGAAUUUGCCCAGUCGUGGGGGAUAACGUAGGGAAACUUACGCUAAUACCGCAUACGACCUAACGGUGAAAGCGGGGGAUCGCAAGACCUCGCGCGGAUGGAUAAGCCGAUGUCGGAUUAGCUAGUUGGCGGGGUAAAGGCCCACCAAGGCGACGAUCCGUAGCUGGUCUGAGAGGAUGAUCAGCCACACUGGGACUGAGACACGGCCCAGACUCCUACGGGAGGCAGCAGUGGGGAAUAUUGGACAAUGGGGGCAACCCUGAUCCAGCAAUGCCGCGUGUGUGAAGAAGGCCUUCGGGUUGUAAAGCACUUUUAUCAGGAACGAAACGCGCACGGUUAAUAACCUUGCGAACUGACGGUACCUGAGGAAUAAGCACCGGCUAACUUCGUGCCAGCAGCCGCGGUA